CCAUGGUGAAGGAGGUAGUUCUGG
rnacentral:piRNA from 1 species